rnacentral:rRNA from 1 species
UACGUAGGGCGCAAGCGUUGUCCGGAAUUAUUGGGCGUAAAGGGCUCGUAGGCGGUUUGUCGCGUCGGGAGUGAAAACCCAGGGCUUAACUCUGGGCUUGCUUUCGAUACGGGCAGACUAGAGGUAUGCAGGGGAGAACGGAAUUCCUGGUGUAGCGGUGAAAUGCGCAGAUAUCAGGAGGAACACCGGUGGCGAAGGCGGUUCUCUGGGCAUUACCUGACGCUGAGGAGCGAAAGUGUGGGGAGCGAACAGG